GACGAAACGCUGGCGGCGUGCCUAAUACAUGCAAGUCGAGCGAGCUUGCCUAGAUGAUUUUAGUGCUUGCACUAAAUGAAACUAGAUACAAGCGAGCGGCGGACGGGUGAGUAACACGUGGGUAACCUGCCCAAGAGACUGGGAUAACACCUGGAAACAGAUGCUAAUACCGGAUAACAACACUAGACGCAUGUCUAGAGUUUGAAAGAUGGUUCUGCUAUCACUCUUGGAUGGACCUGCGGUGCAUUAGCUAGUUGGUAAGGUAACGGCUUACCAAGGCAACGAUGCAUAGCCGACCUGAGAGGGUGAUCGGCCACAUUGGGACUGAGACACGGCCCAAACUCCUACGGGAGGCAGCAGUAGGGAAUCUUCGGCAAUGAACGAAAGUCUGACCGAGCAACGCCGCGUGAGUGAAGAAGGUUUUCGGAUCGUAAAACUCUGUGUUAGAGAAGAAACAAAGGAUGAGAGUAGCUGUUCAU
rnacentral:rRNA from 1 species